rnacentral:rRNA from 1 species
CCCUUAGAUGUUCUGGGCCGCACGCGCGCUACACUGUCGGAUGCAGCGAGUCUUAACCUUAACCGAAAGGUUUGGGUAAUCUUAUGAAAGUCCGACGUGAUGGGGAUUGAUCAUUGCAAUUAUUGAUCAUGAACGAGGAAUUCCCAGUAAGCGCGAGUCAUAAGCUGGCGUUGAUUACGUCCCUGCCCUUUGUACACACCGCCCGUCGCUACUACCGAUUGGACGGUUUAGCGAGGCCCUCGGAUCGGUACCAGGACUCCGUCAGGAGUGACUGGCAACCGAGAAGGCGGUCGAACUUGACCGUCUAGAGGAAGUAAAAGUCGUAACA